CGCGCAGGCGGCCAGGUCAGUCGAAUGUGAAAGCCCCCGGCUCAACUGGGGAAGGUCGUUCGAUACUGCCUGGCUUGAAGAUAGGAGAGGGAAGUGGAAUUUCAGGUGUAGUGGUGAAAUGCGUAGAUAUCUGAAGGAACACCAGUGGCGAAGGCGACUUUCUGGCCUAUUCUUGACGCUGAGGCGCGGAAGCUAGGGGAGCGAACG
rnacentral:rRNA from 1 species